AUGGCCGCGGUAUUUUGACCGUGCAAAGGUAGCAUAAUCAUUAGUUUUUUAAUUGAAAGCUGGAAUGAAUGGUUGGACAAGAAAAUUUCUGUCUCUGUUUAAUUUUUUAGAAUUUUAUUUUUUAGUUAGAAAGCUUAAAUUUUUUUAAGGGACGAGAAGACCCUAUAGAAUUUUACUUGUAACAGAAUUUUUAAUGUUUAGAUUUGUUUUUUUGGAAUUUAUUUUAUAUGUUUUGUUGGGGUGAUAGAAAAAUUUAAAUAACUUUUUUUUGUUUUAAUCAUUGAUUGAUGAAUAAUUGAUCCAUUUAUUGUGAUUAUAAGAUUAAAUUACCUUAGGGAUAACAGC
rnacentral:rRNA from 1 species